AUGCGGCGUGCGAGCUGGAUGUCCUUGGGCAUGAUGGUGACGCGCUUGGCGUGGAUGGCGCAGAGGUUGGUGUCCUCGAACAGGCCAACCAGGUACGCCUCGGCGGCCUCCUGCAGCGCCGACACGGCGGAGGACUGGAACCUCAGGUCGGUCUUGAAGUCCUGGGCGAUCUCCCUCACCAGGCGCUGGAAGGGGAGCUUGCGGAUGAGCAGCUCCGUGCUCUUCUGGUACUUGCGGAUCUCCCGGAGCGCCACGGUGCCCGGGCGGAAGCGGUGGGGCUUCUUCACGCCGCCGGUGGCCGGGGCCGACUUGCGCGCCGCCUUGGUCGCCAGCUGCUUCCUCGGCGCCUUGCCGCCAGUGGACUUGCGCGCCGUCUGCUUCGUGCGGGCCAUCGGAGAAGAGGGGUGGGUGAGGGUGUGGGUGCUUCGCCGGUGA
rnacentral:rRNA from 1 species